rnacentral:rRNA from 1 species
GACGAACCGAGCGAACGUUGUUCGGAAUCACUGGGCUUAAAGGGCGCGUAGGCGGGCUGCCGCGUCCGGGGUGAAAUCCCACGGCUCAACCGUGGAACGGCCCCGGGUACGGGCGGCCUCGAGGGGGUGAGGGGCGGGCGGAACUGUGGGUGGAGCGGUGAAAUGCGUUGAGAUCCACAGGAACUCCGGUGGCGAAGGCGGCCCGCUGGACCCCAUCUGACGCUGAGGCGCGAAAGCCAGGGGAGCGAACGGG